AUGGUCUGCAUGAGUGGCCUGGCUGACACCCUCAGAGCACCAACAAUGCUGAAAAGAGAAGCAGACACCAGGUUCUUUUUUUCUCUUUCUUUCUUUUUUUGAGACAGAGUCUUGCUCUGUCACCCAGGCUGAAGUGCAGUGGCGCGAUCUCGGUUCACUGCAACCUCCACCUUCUGGGUUCAAGUGAUUCUCCUGCCUCAGCCUCCCAAGUAGCUGGGACUACAGGCAUGCACCACCAAGCCUGGCUAAUUUUUGUAUUUUUGGUAGCGACGGGGUUUCACCAUGUUGGCCAGGCUGGUAUUGAACUCCUGAUCCCAAGUGAUCCACCUACCUCAGCCUCCCAAAUUUCUGGGAUUACAGGCAUGAGCCAGUGUGCCUGGCCAACACCAGGUUCUUAUUAGGCUGUGCUCCAAUAUCAUCAUCUGGUUUCUCAUUGUGAUGAUGAAGCUUGAUAACUUUGGAAAAUUUGAAAUCGUCGUUGAUCCUAGAACUGAGAAAAUUGUUGUGACCCUCACAGGCAGGCUAAAUAAAUGUGCAGUGAUCAUCUCCAGAUUUACUGUGCAACUCAAAGACCUAGAAAAAUGGCAGAUUAGUCUCCAUCCCAUCAGUUUGGUUUUAUUGACCUGAUGACUGAAGCUGGCAUCAUGGACCACGAGGAAGCACGAGAAAGGCACAGAGGAGAGAAAACCCUGGGAUUCUUUUUCUGGGGAUGA
rnacentral:lncRNA from 1 species